AUUGAACGCUGGCGGCAUGCCUUACACAUGCAAGUCGAACGGUAACAGGUCUUCGGAUGCUGACGAGUGGCGAACGGGUGAGUAAUACAUCGGAACGUGCCUAGUAGUGGGGGAUAACUACUCGAAAGAGUGGCUAAUACCGCAUGGGAUCUACGGAUGAAAGCAGGGGAUCGCAAGACCUUGUGCUACUAGAGCGGCCGAUGGCAGAUUAGGUAGUUGGUGGGAUAAAAGCUUACCAAGCCGACGAUCUGUAGCUGGUCUGAGAGGACGAUCAGCCACACUGGGACUGAGACACGGCCCAGACUCCUACGGGAGGCAGCAGUGGGGAAUUUUGGGCAAUGGGCGAAAGCCUGAUCCAGCAAUGCCGCGUGCAGGAUGAAGGCCUUCGGGUUGUAAACUGCUUUUGUACGGAACGAAAAGCCCUGGGUUAAUACCCUGGGGUCAUGACGGUACCGUAAGAAUAAGCACCGGCUAACUACGUGCCAGCAGUCGCCGUAA
rnacentral:rRNA from 1 species